rnacentral:rRNA from 1 species
AGAGUUUGAUCCUGGCUCAGGACGAACGUUGGCGGUGCGCUUAAUGCAUGCAAGUCGAGGGAGAACCAGUCGUUCCGUAAGGUUCGGCUGGGGAAACCGGCGAACGGGUGCGUAACACGUGAGGAACCUGCCCCGAAGACUGGGAUAGCCCGAGGAAACUCGGAUUAAUACCGGAUACCCUCUUUGGACCACAUGGUCUGUUGAGGAAAUGGUCCGCUGCUUCGGGAUGGCCUCGCGGCCUAUCAGCUUGUUGGUGAGGUAAUGGCUCACCAAGGCAAAGACGGGUAGCUGGUCUGAGAGGACGAUCAGCCACACUGGGACUGAGACACGGCCCAGACUCCUACGGGAGGCAGCAGCAGGGAAUAUUGCACAAUGGGCGAAAGCCUGAUGCAGCGACACCGCGUGCGGGAUGAAGGCCUUCGGGUUGUAAACCGCUUUCAGGAGGGACGAAAAUGACGGUACCUCCAGAAGAAGGCCCGGCCAACUACGUGCCAGCAGCCGCGGUAAUACGUAGGGGCCAAACGUUGUCCGGAUUUAUUGGGCGUAAAGGGCUCGUAGGCGGUUCAACAAGUCGGUCGUGAAAGCCCGGGGCUCAACCCCGGGACGCCGGUCGAAACUGUUGUGACUAGGGUCCGGUAGAGGUGAGUGGAAUUCUCGGUGUAGCGGUGGAAUGCGCAGAUAUCGAGAGGAACACCAGUAGCGAAGGCGGCUCACUGGGCCGGUACCGACGCUGAGGAGCGAAAGCAUGGGGAGCAAACAGGAUUAGAUACCCUGGUAGUCCAUGCCGUAAACGAUGAACACUAGGUGUGGCGGACUCAUUGACGUCUGCCGUGCCGAAGCUAACGCAUUAAGUGUUCCGCCUGGGGAGUACGGCCGCAAGGCUAAAACUCAAAGGAAUUGACGGGGCCCCGCACAAGCGGUGGAGCAUGUGGUUUAAUUCGACGCAACGCGAAGAACCUUACCUGGAUUUGACAUCCCGGGAAUCCUAUCGAAAGACUGGAGUGCCCUUCGGGGAACCCGGAGACAGGUGCUGCAUGGCUGUCGUCAGCUCGCGUCGUGAGAUGUUGGGUUAAGUCCCGCAACGAGCGCAACCCUUGUCUUUAGUUACCAUCAUUCAGUUGGGGACUCUAAAGAUACUGCCCCGGUCAACGGGGAGGAAGGUGGGGAUGACGUCAAGUCCUCAUGGCCUUUAUGUCCAGGGCUACACACGUGCUACAAUGGGCUGUACAAAGGGUCGCGAACCCGCGAGGGUAAGCCAAUCCCAAAAAGCAGUCCCAAGUUCGGAUUGGAGUCUGCAACUCGACUCCAUGAAGCUGGAAUCGCUAGUAAUCGCGGAUCAGCAUGCCGCGGUGAAUACGUUCCCGGGCCUUGUACACACCGCCCGUCACACCAUGAGAGUUGGUUGUACCAGAAGUCGUCGGGCUAACCUUUACAGGAUGCAGGCGCCUAAGGUAUGGCUGAUAAUUAGGGUGAAGUCGUAACAAGGUA